GCUACUGCAAGAAGAAGAAACAGAAACACAAGUUAAAGAGCUCUCGAAGUCUCAACGCCGGCUGUCUCUUCCGUCUUCCACGGUGAAGGGUUUAUGCUGCCAGCUUUCUUAGAAAGGUUUAGAGAGUAUUUAUGUACAAUUGAGACAGUUAAAGACUGAUAGGUUUUAGUUUUUGAAGUGGAAUUAAUGACAUCUGUGCCGUCGAAAAAUAUAUGGAUAAAGAGGCAGCAAUGCCCAUGUGGGGAUUGGAAAUGUUAUGUUACUUGUGAAGGAGAUGUUGAAGAGACAUCUGUAGCAUCUCAGUUGGAAAAAAAUGAAACUUUUCAAUCUGAUUCAAUGGUUUCUCCUUAUGUAGGAAUGGUGUUUAAGGGUGAUGAUGAUGCGUUCGAGUAUUAUGGGAAUUUUGCUAGGAAAAAUGGGUUUUCUAUUAGGAAAGAGAGGUCAAGAUUGAGCCCUCAAUUGGGUAUUUAUAAACGUGAUUUUGUUUGUUAUCGUUCGGGGUUUGCGCCGGCUAGGAAGAAGUCGACUGCAGAACACCAUAGGGAUAGGAAAUCGGUGCGGUGUGGAUGUGAUGCAAAAAUGUAUUUGUCAAAGGAAGUUGUUGAAGGGGUUUCUCAAUGGUUUGUUGUGCAAUUUAGCAAUGUGCAUAAUCAUGAGCUUUUGGAAGAUGAUCAAGUGAGGCUCCUUCCAGCUUAUCGGAAGAUUCAAGAGGCGGAUCAGGAGAGGAUUCUUUUGCUUUCAAAAGCUGGGUUCCCAAUACAUCGAAUAGUGAAGGUGUUAGAGUUGGAAAAGGGUAUUCAAGGUGGGCAAUUGCCUUUUCUAGAGAGGGAUGUUAGGAAUUUUGUUCAAAAUCGCAAGAAGAUUGUUCAAGAGAAUGAUGCUUUGCUCACUGAAAAGAGAGAGAAUGAUAGUAUGGAACUUCUUGAGGCGUGCAAAGUUACCAAAGAGAUGGAUGGAGAUUUUGUUUAUGAUUUCACAACAGAUGAGAAUGAUAAGGUUGAGAACAUUGUGUGGUCGUAUGGUGACUCUGUUCGUGCAUACACUUUGUUUGGUGAUGUGGUUUAUUUUGACACUAGUUAUCGUUCUAUCACAUAUGGCAUGCUUUUAGGGGUAUGGCUUGGAAUUGACAACAAUGGGAAGACCAUAUUCUUUGGCUGUGUUCUGUUGCAGGAUGAGACGGCUCGUUCCUUUGCAUGGGCUUUGCAGGCUUUUGUCCAUCUUAUGAAAGGAAAAUGUCCACAAACAAUUCUAACUGACCUUGAACUGGGGCUUGAGGAUGCUGUUAGAAGCGAAUUACCUAGCACUAGACACGCUAUAUCUAUAUGGAAUAUUCAACCCAAGAUAUCUAGUUGGUUUUUCCUUUCCCUUGGGGCUAGAUAUCCAGAAUUUAAAUCGAUGUUUGAUGAUUUGUAUCAUGCUGAGAAUGCAGAUGAUUUUGAACAUAGAUGGAGUCAGAUGGUUUCUAUGUUUGGAUUUGGUUCAGAUAAACACAUUGCUUUACUCUAUUCUCUUCGUGAAUCUUGGGCAUCAUCCUAUAUGAGAGGUUCCUUUCUUGCUCGGAUGGCGACAUCAGCAUAUUUGAAAUCUGUAGAGUCAUUUCUGAAAGCAAUCUGUUGUGCACAAACAUGUUUACGGAGCUUCUUUGAACAGGUUGGUAGUUCCUCCAAUUUCCAAAACCAGCUGCGUCAAGAGAUGCAGUACAUGCUCACUAAAACAUGCAUGCCUAUUGAAGAGCAUGCACGUAAUUUUCUUACACCUUUUGCCUUCAAUGAUUUCCAACAUGAAUUGGUGCUCUCUAUGCAAUGUGCUCUGUCUGAAAUGCCGGAUGGAUCAUAUCUUGUACACCACUACAAAAAGAUGGAUGUUGAGCGGCUUGUAAUAUGGAUACCAGAAGAUGAACAGAUUCACUGCACCUGUAAGGAAUUUGAGUCUUCCGGGAUGUUGUGCAGACACACUCUUCGGGUGUUCAUCCUGAAAAACUACUUUCAGCUUCCUGAAAAAUAUUAUCUUAGCAGAUGGCGAAGGGAAAGCUCCCUAGUUUUCUAUGAUAAUCAAGAUACUCAAACUAAUGAUGAUGGAUGGUUUCAAGAAUUUCAAUCCCUGACUGAAACUCUAUUAACAGAGUCAUCAAUCACAAAGGAGCGUUCUGAUUAUGUCCAUAGGGAACUGCCAAAGGAACUGAAAAGACUUAUUAGUGAGGAAGAUGUCUGGGUGUUUUUAUUGCUCAUUUUCAUCAGAAAGAGAAUUUUGGAAAGAAAAGCUAACCUGAAGUAGAUGCAUGAAGUGUUGCUCAGAUGCAACAAGUUGACAUUGUUUCCUUUGUGAAUAACUAUGGAAGACUGCAAUAAAUAUGAAUUUGACCGAAAUGAACUCAACCAAGGUUUUUAAACAGUUAUGAAUAUGAUUUGAUAUAACUUGGAAUUCCAGAGGAUGCAAUUGUGCUGCUAGCAUCAGGUAUCUGUUUACGCACACAUAAAUGUACAUAUGCAUCUAUGUAGCCAAGUAUGUAGGCUGUAGAAUUCUUGUUGAUUUUGAAAUCAUUGACAUCUAGAGCAGCUUGUCAUCUUCUUGGCUCCCCAUAAACUCAUGCCUGGAAGAAUUAAAAUAAUUUUUCCAAUAUGCUUGUUACAAUUUUGCCAUCUAAAUGCCACAAAAUUUUGAACCAAAUGCUUUAGUUGUUGAGGUGAAGUUUGUCAAAGCUGGUUCAUCAUAGAUGAUAAUGAACUGUAUAAUUGUGUUUGUUUGUGGUUCCAUUUGCAUCACUGCUCUAAAAAUUUUGUGCCCAUCAGAGCUUCUGGACAAACUGAAGCAUGCAGAAAAUUAGGUGUGUUUUUGUGAUAGCUAAUAUUGUUUCUUGGUUUAAGCUUCGACUGUUGCCGCCCUUUUUUACAUGAUAUUUUUCCUGUGUGAAACUUUUUUGCUACCUCUCAACCUUUUACUGAAAACAUUCAUACGCAAAACGCCAAGAACCACAAGUUAUAGCAGAUUGGUGUGUGCAUGAUUCACUAGUUUAUUGAUCUAUGCCAUGUCCAUGUUUGAUUUUUUCCCCUGAAGGAUUUUUAAGACUCUGCCUACCAUACAAGUGUCCUCAGGUAGGAUUUCAAGGACCCACACAUUCACAUUAUUGUACUGAUUUUUGUACAUUCAGGAUCAUGCAUUCUUUCAUUUAAAAAAUAGUUUUCUUUAAGAGUGAUUGUAAAACUGAAACUGUCAGACACUAGAAUUAUUGGCAAUAAUUUCUCACUUGCUGUCUUGUCUUCGUUUGCAGACAGAUGGAAAUGGAGUCCAAGUUCCAGUCAUUCCAACCCAUUCUCCCAUUGAGGCCCUUCUAGAUUUAUCCCCCAUGUUGCAGGUAUGCAUUUGACAUGGUUCAUUUAUUUCAAAUCUUCAUUCAGGGAGGGGUCCCUCUUGAUUAGAAACCGUGGCCAUGAUAUUUGUCAGGAAAAUUAAAUAGAGGGAGUAGAAAUGAAAGCUGCCAAGUUCUAACCACAUAAGCAUACCAACUUCAUUGAAUGGUCGGUUUCUGUACUGUACCAUGUAGUAGAUGACAAAAGGGCAAUACAUAUCUGCUCUCAAUUUCAUUAUAUUGUCUUCUUGUUGUAAUGCAAGUAUUAACUCGCCAAACUUCUACCACUGUAUAAUAUUAUUGCAUGGUCAUAUAAAGUUGAUAAGAUUGCUGAUUA